CUUGUUUAGGUUUUUGUGUUAUCCUCCGUGAUGAUUUCAUCCAGGCCUGCAGCUGUGAAGAUCUUCUUUCCAGUAGCCACUCCCAAGGACAGAGCCCAGCUUAAGAGAAUCUUGGACAUCAUUUAGUUCAAGCUCCCGCUAACAUCAACCAUCUCUGAAGCUUCUUGAAUAGAGGAUCAGCCCCAGCUGAAAUCCACCUUCAGUCAUGGAGAACUGGAUACCUGGCCCACCCUCACCCAGGAGGUGGUAAGAGUUCUUUACACCCCGCC
rnacentral:lncRNA from 1 species